AACGAACGCUGGCGGCAGGCCUAACACAUGCAAGUCGAACGCACCGCAAGGUGAGUGGCGCACGGGUGAGUAACACGUGGGAAUGUACCCUUUGGUUCGGAAUAACGUUUGGAAACGAACGCUAAUACCGGAUGAGCCCUACGGGGGAAAGAUUUAUCGCCAAAGGAGCAGCCCGCGUCUGAUUAGCUAGUUGGUGGGGUAAAGGCCUACCAAGGCUACGAUCAGUAGCUGGUCUGAGAGGAUGAUCAGCCACACUGGGACUGAGACACGGCCCAGACUCCUACGGGAGGCAGCAGUGAGGAAUAUUGGACAAUGGAGGAAACUCUGAUCCAGCCAUGCCGCGUGAGUGAUGAAGGCCUUCGGGUUGUAAAGCUCUUUCGGGUGUGAAAAUGAUGAUGGUAACACCAGAAGAAGCCCCGACUAACUCCGUGCCAGCCGCCGCGGUAA
rnacentral:rRNA from 1 species